UACGGAGGGGGCUAGCGUUGUUCGGAAUUACUGGGCGUAAAGCGCGCGUAGGCGGAUCUGCAAGUCGGGGGUGAAAUCCCGAGGCUCAACCCUCGGAACUGCGUCUGAAACUACUCGACUAGAGUACUGGAGAGGGUAACGGAAUUCACGGUGUAGCAGUGAAAUGCGUAGAUAUCGUGAGGAACACCAGAGGCGAAGGCGGUUACCUGGCCCACUCUUGACGCUGAGGCGCGAAAGCUAGGGGAGCAAACGGG
rnacentral:rRNA from 1 species